GCGCUCCAUGACAGCGCUGAUCCACGGCCUGAACCGCCAGGAUGGCCCCAGUAUAAACCAGUACGGCCCAGUACAGCUCACUGCAACCCAUAUAAGCCGGUAUAACCCAGUAUAGCCCAGUAUAACCCAGUACAGCUCACUGCAACCCAGUGCAGCCCAGUACAGCUCGGUACAACCCAGUAGAGCCCAGUAUAACCCAGUACGGCCAAGUAGGGCCCAGCACAGUCCAGUACAAACCCAGGCUACCCCAGUCCAACCCAGUAUCACCCUGGACCAUCCCAUACCACCCCAGACUGUCCCAGUCCAGCCCAGUUUAAGCCCAGUCCAUCUCAGUCCAGCCCAGUAUAAACCCAGUCCGUCCCAGUCCAGCCCAGUAUCACCCCAGACGACCCCAGUAUAAGCCCAGACUGUCCCACUAUCACCCCAGUCCGUCCCAGUCCAGCCCAGUAUCACCCCGGACUGUCCCAGUCCAGCCCAGUUUAACCCCAAACUAUCUCAGUAUUAGCCCAGCUUGUCCCAGUCCGUCCCGGUAUAACCCCUGUCCGUCCCAGUCCAGCCCAGUAUAACCCCGGACUAUCCCAGUCCAGCCCAGUUUAACCCCAAACUAUCCCAGUAUAAACCCAGUUUGUCCCAGUCCGUCCCAGUAUAACCCUGGACUAUCCCAGUCCGUCCCAGUUUAACCCCAAACUAUCCCAGUAUAAACCCAGUUUGUCCCAGUCCGUCCUGGUAUAACCCCUGUCCGUCCCAGUCCAGCCCAGUUUGUCC